rnacentral:rRNA from 1 species
GUUUGAUCCUGGCUCAGGAUGAACGCUAGCUACAGGCUUAACACAUGCAAGUCGAGGGGAAACGACAUCGAAAGCUUGCUUUUGAUGGGCGUCGACCGGCGCACGGGUGAGUAACGCGUAUCCAACCUGCCCACCACUUGGGGAUAACCUUGCGAAAGUAAGACUAAUACCCAAUGACGUCUCUAGAAGACAUCUGAAAGAGAUUAAAGAUUUAUCGGUGAUGGAUGGGGAUGCGUCUGAUUAGCUUGUUGGCGGGGUAACGGCCCACCAAGGCGACGAUCAGUAGGGGUUCUGAGAGGAAGGUCCCCCACAUUGGAACUGAGACACGGUCCAAACUCCUACGGGAGGCAGCAGUGAGGAAUAUUGGUCAAUGGACGAGAGUCUGAACCAGCCAAGUAGCGUGCAGGAUGACGGCCCUAUGGGUUGUAAACCGCUUUUAUAAGGGAAUAAAGUGAGUCUCGUGAGACUUUUUGCAUGUACCUUAUGAAUAAGGACCGGCUAAUUCCGUGCCAGCAGCCGCGGUAAUACGGAAGGUCCGGGCGUUAUCCGGAUUUAUUGGGUUUAAAGGGAGCGUAGGCCGGAGAUUAAGCGUGUUGUGAAAUGUAGACGCUCAACGUCUGCACUGCAGCGCGAACUGGUUUCCUUGAGUACGCACAAAGUGGGCGGAAUUCGUGGUGUAGCGGUGAAAUGCUUAGAUAUCACGAAGAACUCCGAUUGCGAAGGCAGCUCACUGGAGCGCAACUGACGCUGAAGCUCGAAAGUGCGGGUAUCGAACAGGAUUAGAUACCCUGGUAGUCCGCACGGUAAACGAUGGAUGCCCGCUGCUGGUCUGAAUAGGUCAGCGGCCAAGCGAAAGCAUUAAGCAUCCCACCUGGGGAGUACGCCGGCAA